UACGGAGGAUGCAAGCGUUAUCCGGAUUUAUUGGGUUUAAAGGGUGCGCAGGUUGUUUGAUAAGUCAGUGGUGAAAGUCUGUCGCUUAACGGUAGGAUUGCCAUUGAUACUGUUGGACUUGAAUAUGGAUGAGGUAGGCGGAAUGUGUAGUAUAGCGGUGAAAUGCAUAGAUAUUGCACAGAACACCGAUUGCGAAGGCAGCUUACUAAUCCAUCAUUGACGCUGAGGCACGAAAGCGUGGGGAUCAAA
rnacentral:rRNA from 1 species